GUGGGCUCUGUGCAGACAGCAUGCCAGCAGUGCUGAGAAGAGCCCAGAACUCUUCUUCUGAAAACACCUGACCCCAGAAGAUGCCUAAACAUCUAUCAAACAAUUGAACAUUUUUGAGUUCAUGGCAAAAAAGAAAAAGCCAAAUAUUAAAGACCAAGAAGGCAGCAGCUUGAGAACCAUUGCAGAAGCUGGAACUGAUGAAGGCCCCAGAGCAUGCUCACCUGGAUUGCAAGUGGAAACUGAGGAAACUAAGGUGUCUGCCACUGGUUCAUCUAAUCCAAGCCCUGCUAAAGAACCAUGGAACAGCAGCAAAGCCAAGAAGCAGUGUCAUUGUUAAACCUUGAACUUGAUAUGAACAAUACUGUUUCUGAUAUCCAAGUGAAAGCUCAAUUAGUGCAAAACCCACAGACUCCAUUGCCAGGAUAUGUAUUUCUUGUGGAUAAGAAGAGACAUCUAAGUUUUCAAAUAAAAUGGUUCAAGACA